CCUACGGUGUGCAGCAGUGAGGAAUAUUGGUCAAUGGGCGCAAGCCUGAACCAGCCAAGUCGCGUGAGGGAUGACGGUCCUAUGGAUUGUAAACCUCUUUUGUCGGGGAGCAAGGCCCGCCACGUGUGGCGGGAAGGAGAGUACCCGAAGAAAAAGCAUCGGCUAACUCCGUGCCAGCAGCCGCGGGAAUACGGAGGAUGCGAGCGUUAAUCGGAAUUACUGGGCGUACAGCGCUCGUAGGCGGUAUGUCAAGUCAAGGGUGAAAUCCCCGCGCUCAACGUGGGAACUGCCUUUGAAACUGGCAAACUGGAGUGUGUUAGAGGAUAGUGGAAUUCCAGGUGUAGGAGUGAAAUCCGUAGAUAUCUGGAGGAACAUCAGUGGCGAAGGCGACUAUCUGGCACAUAACUGCCGCUGAGGAGCGAAAGCGUGGGUAGCAAACAGGAUUAGAUACCCGAGUAGUC
rnacentral:rRNA from 1 species